rnacentral:rRNA from 1 species
CCUACGGGAGACAGCAGUGGGGAAUAUUGCACAAUGGGGGAAACCCUGAUGCAGCGACGCCGCGUGAGUGAAGAAGUAUUUCGGGAUGUAAAGCUCUAUCAGCAGGGAAGAAAAUGACGGUACCUGAUUACGACGCCCCGGCUAACUACGUGCCAGCCGCCGCGGUAAUACGGAGGGGGCAAGCGUUAUCCGGAUUGACUGGGGGUAAAGGGAGCGUAGACGGCAGCACAAGUCUGGAGUGAAAUGCCGGGGCUUAACCCCGGAACUGCUUUGGAAACUGUGCAGCUAGAGUGCAGGAGAGGUAAGUGGAAUUCCUAGUGUAGCGGUGAAAUGCGUAGAUAUUAGGAGGAACACCAGUGGCGAAGGCGGCUUACUGGACUGUAACUGACGUUGAGGCUCGAAAGCGUGGGGAGCAAACAGGAUUAGAUACCCCAGUAGUC